CCCCCCACACACACAAACAAAGAGGCGUUAGGCUGAGACGCUGAAAGUCCGGAUUUAAAGUGCAGAAAAUUAAGCCAUUGAAUCUGCCUGUCCAUGACGUACAAAGACACACUAUGAGCCAGUAUGAUCCGACCAGACCUUACAUCAGCAUUGAGGAGUUGUCGGAGAAGAAAGAGGCUGAUUGAAGCGGGACAGAUGACAUGGAUCCAUCCUUCCACAGCCAGGAGCGCACCGACCUGUGUCCCACACUUCAUAUAAGACUGGAAGCUACACUGAUCUCACAGCUACACACUG